CUCGAUUUAAAGUUGAAAGCUUGCCAUCGAUACAGUUUCAUAACACAGCGAUCUCAGAUGAAGGUGGAUAUAAAUAUUACAUCAGGACCUUUCAGGGGAAUGUUAAUGUACAAUUCACAAUUAAUGUCACAGAUCACACAGGGACAUGAUGGUCUCUUCACUCUGUUCAGCAAACUGAGCUUCAGGAGCAUCGACACGACCUGGGGAUCAGGUGCGUCAUCCUCAACUACAGAUAUGAAGAAGAAGGAGAGAGGACGUUGAGUUGGGGGAUAGGGCCCUGACCCCUGCAGACCACCAACAUCCCACAAGAGACCCAGUCGUCUAGACACUCCAAUUGUUCAGAUCCUUACAUUCCUUACGCUUCCAACACAUCGUCUCCGAGAACCGACUGUUCCUUCGCUGCCUAAUAAACAAAUAAAUGAGUAGAAGUGAAUGAAAUUGAUACAAUCAGUGUU